rnacentral:rRNA from 1 species
CCCUUAGAUGUCCUGGGCCGCACGCGCGUUACACUGAUGCAUUCAACGAGUUUUACCUUGGCCGAGAGGCCUGGGCAAUCUUUUAAACCUGCAUCGUGAUAGGGAUAGAUUAUUGCAAUUUUUAAUCUUGAACGAGGAAUUCCUAGUAAACGCAAAUCAUCAAUUUGCAUUGAUUACGUCCCUGCCCUUUGUACACACCGCCCGUCGCACCUACCGAUUGAAUGGUCCGGUGAAGCCUCGGGAUUGUGGCCAGUUCACUUUAUUGGGAGUUGGCUGUGAGAACUUGUCUAAACCUUAUCAUUUAGAGGAAGGUGAAGUCGUAACA